UGAGUCUGAGCCAUGGUUACAGCCUCCUUUCUUCCUCUUCUAAAGUUCCAUAGAUUCCUUGUAGAAACUUUGGAACUGUUUUCUGUCUCCAGCUUUCUCCACUGACACCGCUGCAAGGGUGUUUGAGUGUAAGCAGUUGACAUCUUUAUUCAAAGAAGAGAUCCUGUGACUUGAAGGCAUGAGCGUAUUUGGUCUGAGGAUAGCUUGGGAGCAGAAAAAAUGAGCCUUUGACAACAAACAGUGACACAGGAUCCUGGUAACUUCUGCAGUUCCUGAAAUUCACAACUUCUCAAACCUGUUCCCCUCAGCACACAAGGAACUACAGAUAUUGGUGCGACAGUCAGAGUGAAUGAAGAGGCUGCUCACUGCUGGAGGCAACCGGUCUGCGCAGCUCUGUGCCUUGCCGGGCCACUUUGCGGGGGGAGGUCAAGGGGGUCCUGGCACAGUUAUAGCAAAUGUACAUCAUCCCAGUGUGCUUAUGCCAUGCAGGCCAGGAAAUUCUCCUGCAAGUCUUGUGGCUUUGAUGUGACAGGACCUUUUCAGUGUUCUUGUGAAUGUGCUGUAGAGGCUGAGCUCCCAAACCCCUUUUCUCAGUGCUGCUCCUAUGUAAUAAUGAUGGCUAAAAGCCUGUUCAGAGACAGUCAAAAUCUUUGAAAAACUGAGUUAUUUUUCUCAUGUAAAUGAAUAUAGAUUUACUUCUUCCUUUUUAAUGCUGAGUAGAAGAAUUCCAAUGCGUUGAUACCACAAUUUAUUUAAUUAGUUCAUUAUUUAGUUUUUCUUAUUAUUUUCUACAAGCUGGUAAAUUUCGUAUUUCUGUUUGCCCAUUAUUGCCUUCUUGUGCAGGUGUCAGUAGGGUAAAUUCCUACAAGGGGACUUGCUGGAUCAUAGGCUGUGUACAUUUCAGAUGUUGCUAUCUGUUAUUGGAGUGGUAGGUUAGAGGCCUCCUGAUGACAGCUGAUUGUGGGAUCCGUGGUAGGUAGGCUGUGGCUACAACAGCAAUGGUUUUUAAUGGACGUGUGAGUGGGUGAAGAGGAGUACCUUUCGGAGUGUCUUGGAGGUGGGAGUGAGCUUGAGUAAUUUGGCCAGCCUCUCCAAGUGAUUCUAAUAUGCGCGCCACUGGAUUAGAGUUUGUUUCUGUGUUUUCUACCCAAAAGUAUGAAUGCUGCUGUGAGAAUUAUAUUUGGUAUUGAGCUCAUCAAGGCUGUCAUAAAAAGCAUCAUGGUUUGAGAGUUUGCUCUGCUCAGUAACUCAAAAAAAAAUGUAGCCAAUAGAGCAGAAGAAAGUGACCCUAUAAACUGAUGCGAAAAGUAUCUCCCAUCUGUUGAGAAAAUCCUUUAUAGUCUUUCCUCAAGAAAGAGUUAGCCUUUCUCCCUAUCAAAUGUUCAGUCCAGACUGCCCUUUGGUGAUGGGUGUUCUUCUCUCCCAGUAUACACGCACUGCUCAUUUUAACCUAUGGAAAUGAGAGCGGGUUGGGAGUGGGAAAUCUACACAUGUGCCACCACUUGUGAGUUUUUGCACACGUUAAAGAACAACCAGCAGCCUACUGAUCCCUGGAAAUCUACUUUUGCACCCAUAAUAAAGUAAUCCCAGGGUACAGUUUAAAGUUAUA